rnacentral:rRNA from 1 species
CAGUCGCCGCGGUAAUACGGAGGGUGCAAGCGUUAAUCGGAAUUACUGGGCGUAAAGCGCACGCAGGCGGUCUGUCAAGUCAGAUGUGAAAUCCCCGGGCUUAACCUGGGAACUGCAUUUGAAACUGGCAGGCUAGAGUCUUGUUGAGGGGGGUAGAAUUCCAGGUGUAGCGGUGAAAUGCGUAGAGAUCUGGAGGAAUACCGGUGGCGAAGGCGGCCCCCUGGACAAAGACUGACGCUCAGGUGCGAAAGCGUGGGGAGCAAACAGGAUUAGAUACCCCUGUAGUCCCUGUCUCUUAUAA